UAGGUGGCGAGCGUUGUCCGGAUUUACUGGGCGUAAAGAGCGCGCAGGCGGCUGGUCAAGUCCGAUGUGAAAGCUCCCGGCUUAACUGGGAAAUUGCAUCGGAAACUGAUCGGCUGGAAGGUGGGAGAGGGUAGCGGAAUUCCCGGUGUAGUGGUGAAAUGCGUAGAUAUCGGGAGGAACACCAGUGGCGAAAGCGGCUACCUGGCCCAUUCUUGACGCUGAGGCGCGAAAGCUAGGGGAGCAAACGGG
rnacentral:rRNA from 1 species